rnacentral:rRNA from 1 species
UACGUAGGGGCCUAGCGUUGUCCGGAAUUAUUGGGCGUAAAGAGCUCGUAGGCGGUCUGUCACGUCUGCUGUGAAAACUCGGGGCUUAACCCCGGGCCUGCAGUGGGUACGGGCAGACUAGAGUGCGGUAGGGGAGACUGGAAUUCCUGGUGUAGCGGUGAAAUGCGCAGAUAUCAGGAGGAACACCGGUGGCGAAGGCGGGUCUCUGGGCCGUAACUGACGCUGAGGAGCGAAAGCGUGGGGAGCGAACAGG